GAUGAACGCUGGCGGCGUGCCUAAUACAUGCAAGUCGAGCGAAUGGAUUAAGAGCUUGCUCUUAUGAAGUUAGCGGCGGACGGGUGAGUAACACGUGGGUAACCUGCCCAUAAGACUGGGAUAACUCCGGGAAACCGGGGCUAAUACCGGAUAACAUUUUGAACCGCAUGGUUCGAAAUUGAAAGGCGGCUUCGGCUGUCACUUAUGGAUGGACCCGCGUCGCAUUAGCUGGUUGGUGAGGUAACGGCUCACCAAGGCAACGAUGCGUAGUCGAACGUGGAGGGUGGUCGGCCACACUAGGACUGAGACACGGACCAGACUCCUGCGGGAGGCAGCAGUAGGGAAUCUUCCGCAAUGGACGAAAGUCUGACGGAGCAACGCCGCGUGAGUGAUGAAGGCUUUCGGGUCGUAAAACUCUGUUGUUAGGGAAGAACAAGUGCUAGUUGAAUAAGCUGGCACCUUGACGGUACCUAACCAGAAAGCCACGGCUAACUACGUGCCAGCCGCCGCCGUAA
rnacentral:rRNA from 1 species